GACGUAGGGCGCGAGCGUUGUCCGGAUUUAUUGGGCGUAAAGAGCUCGUAGGCGGUUUGGCAAGUCGGGUGUGAAAACUCCGGCUCAACUCGGAGACGCCACUCGAUACUGCCAUGACUCGAGUCCGGUAGGGGAGUGCGGAAUUCCUGGUGUAGCGGUGAAAUGCGCAGAUAUCAGGAGGAACACCGGUGGCGAAGGCGGCACUCUGGGCCGGUACUGACGCUGAGGAGCGAAAGCGUGGGGAGCGAACAGG
rnacentral:rRNA from 1 species